ACCAUGUAGUGACCUGAAUUCAG
rnacentral:piRNA from 1 species